rnacentral:other from 1 species
AACAACCUGCGAUGUACGUUACGGAAUAUUUGUUUUGAACCAAUGAUUGUUUCCCGGGAGUCUCAUAUGGUCGUCGUGGCUGGCAUGCCCUCGCGAAGGGACGUCAAAAGCGCGCUGCGGACACCCACCUGCGAUAGCAGGUUUCGAAACAGAUUUCCAACGGCAUAGGCGGGUUUUUU